AUCUGGCCUCAUUUGGUUUCCGUCUCUUCUUUCUCUGUCCUGUGGAACUACCGCCGCUCUGUAACGGUUAACAUCUAGUAACAUUUUCCACAUUUCCCCCCCAUCUUGUUUACUAUUGGUGGGUUUUUAUUUUUGUUAAUCUUUUUGUUUACUAUAUUUCCAACUUUUGUACUCAUCCCCAUCUUGAAACUUGACUGACCGCUCAUCUGGACUCAAUCCUGCUGCAAUCCCUUUCGUUAAAAAAAAACCCAGCCGCAACAAUGAUGGAGUUAAUCUGAUCCUCGGCGUGGGAUACUUGCUGCUCUCAGUGAUUUCUGAAUAAGCUUCCAUCCUCCUGCGCUCUGCUGCUUUGACCUUUUCCACUGUAGCAGGUCUGUCCGACUCUGAGGAGACGUAGCCAAGUUGCUGUGGAAACCAAGUGUCUGUCUCGUAAGAUGAAUAAUUAAGAUAAAACACAAGCAUAUCUGGCAUCCAUGUUCUCACCAGGUUCCUCAGGGAUGAGGAAAACCUCAAUGACACACUAGCUCUACACCUCCUGAACCACUAGGGGGAGGUCUUGCUCUCUGCUGGUAAUGAGCAGGGGUGACUUUACCUGCCACUCACACAAUGUCAAUAGUUAGUGGCUUAAUCUCAAGUGCCUCCAUGGGCUUUUCUGGCGUUACACCGUCUUCUUUUUUUCCCCCACCCCCUUACAGAGUGGUGGAGCGGCUUAACCUCGGAUCUUCCCUGCUAUUUGAGAGAGGAACAAAUGAGAUGAAAAGAAUUGAGUCCAGAGGUGUCUGUAUUCAGGGCAGGAGAAGAAGCUGGAUUUUGUUGUUUUAAACAUGGUGAGCUCCAACUUCCACAGCGGAAAAAAGCCACCCCUUGUUUCUCCUCUGGCAUUACUUUGCAUAAGAAAGCACGCUUGAAGGUCACAGUAAAGACGGAUACAAGUCUCACACUUGCAAGGCAACAUGACAGAAAUCUUAACAGCGUGUUUAAGGAUGCUGAAAGGGAAAAAAAUGGUGCUCUGGAGCAGAUCAUUUAUUUUAAUGUUACCCAAAAGGUGUUAAAACAGUCGAGCUUUGCCAAGAUAUAUUCCUGGUACAUCUUCAGCUAGUCAGGAAACUGCACGGCACCAACCUCGAAGCUUUGAUGCUGCUUUGAUACCUCACACCCUUGUUUACUCGCAGCAUCUUUAGUGUUUCGCUCUGCACCAGGAGUAAUUUGGAGCGGAGAGCAGUCUACACAGAAUCCUCUUUGGAAUAUAUUGAAAUGCAAAGAGAUUGCAUAAUUGGGUAGAACUCAAAGUAAGAUGAUCCAAACAUAGAUUUUUUUUUUUUUUGGAAGGAGUUAUCAAAUUCCAGAAGUCACUGGCGCACAAAAUGUGCUACUUCAUAUAAUUUUAAUCUGUUAAGGCACUGGCAGGCACUGUAUGUACAAACAUUAGAAGAUGUGCUCUGGAAGAAAAGCCCAACUGUACCUACAACAUAAAAACCUGACUUCAGCGUGCCACCUUUAUUUUUUUUGUCCAUUUGUUUGCCAAAUCCAAACCCCCCCUGAGGUGAUCCAGGCCUCAUCCAGCAGCCUCCUGCACAAGAGGGGAGCGGGGGGCUAAAUGGAAACCAUGUGGUGGUUAGUAGUCCUUCCACAUCUGGCAACAUUUAUUUACAUUAGUGCUUGCAGCCUCUAAUCAAGCAAAUACUGGCAAACACCGAGGCCACACACAAAUGCAGACCUGAUGCUGGAGUGAACGGGGUGGUCAAGUGGUUAGACUGUCCUGUAUUUCACUUGUGACAUGUUCAAUCCCCCUCCCACUCACAGAGAGCUAAAACACUUGGAUGUGUGAAACCUGAAAGAAAGGCUGCUUUGUUAGUCAACAGCUCGACACACAUGCAUCUGUUGAGCGUCUUAAAAGAUCUGGAGCUGGGAGAUGUUUCAUGUGUGUGUGUGUAUAAUUUAUGUCUCUCGAGCCGGAGUUAAACUGCAUAGCAAUCACAGACUUAACCAGCUAUAAAUUUAAGGAUUUAACGCCCUUUUUAAAGGAGACAUGCCUCUCCACUUCACUGACUCCCCUGACCCACAUUCAUUUAGAUUUAGGAUCACUUAGGGAGGCCAUCGCCGUCUGAAUACACCCAACACUGUGUAGUCUGCACAGCUUACACGAGAUUUAGACUCCCUUUCAGAGUGACACAGCAGAGGAGGGAAAGCUUGAAGUUGGAGGUGAAGGAUGUCUUUUGGUCUAUAGUGGCCCCCCAAAAAAAGAGAGAGACACUAUCCACCUGUUUACAUAUGCACGCCUCAGACAGAUGUUGAAUAAUUCAUCCACGGAGGCGGACAACAUGCAGCUGUAUUUGGGUUAUGGGGGUGCAUGGGUUCUCUUCUCCCUUGCCUGAAUUCAUGCAGCCCAAAUUAUAGGCAUUACUUUGCAGGCAGAGCAGGGCAAAGCAAAAAAACUAGGACACUUUGCAUAAAGGAUCCAACAGAGAGGCACAAUGAGAUGUGAAAGAUGGAGCUGCAGAAAGGUUUUGCAAAAACGGACGCUGUUAGGAUUUGGGAACGGUCUUUUGUAGGAACCUGAAAUAGUGUGUGCUCUGCACAGUCUAUGGAUAAUGUUUCUCUCCAGUCACUUUGCCAGCUGCGUAAUGCCCCCCUUUGUUCCCCCCAAAUCCAAAUGAACGUGUUGCAAAAAUUUUCUUGGAUCGAUUCCCAUCUUGUGCCAGAGAAUGAGCUCAAGUGGAAGAUCAAUCCACUCCCAACUUUUAUCGACACAUGUUAGAAAAAUCACGGAGCACUUUGUGGAAAUAAUGUAGUUAGCCUCUCCCAUCACUGGAGACUAAAUGCAUGAGAUGGAUAUGUUUUUACGCACACGCACACACACACACAGAGCAGCAGAGGUGGCAGCGCGCUGUCAGACAGAGCUAUCUGAAGGUUUAUGGCUCACAGGUUUUUAGACUCGGUGCUCGCCCUUUGGGCCUUAAUGGACACUGAUGGAAAAUGACUCCGCUGUUCCAGGGAUCCAUCAGACGCCCUCUUCCUCUCUCUCUCUCUCCCUGCUCUGAGCUCAUCCAUCAGGCCGCAGCUUUCAAACAAAAAAAGGGGGGAACUUUAUGAGGCGCUUGAACGUGUCCAGCUGCGAAAUAAACUGCCUUCAGUCAAACAGAUGGCCGCAGGGGUGAUUAAUACCAAGUAAACAGUCUGCAAACAAAACUAAAACUAAGCUCCGGUUCCUCUCUGCUGAACCGCAAUACAUCAUCUCGAUUCUUCAUCCGUUUGCGCCAAAAAUCACAAGUCACGUCACUCUAAAAGAGGGUCAAGCAAACUAGAGCCUCUCCUCCACGCAUUCCCAGGUUGUGUACCACCGGGGACGCAGUGAGUCAGCCAGCACCGAGUCCCCAAGGGACGGCUACAAGCCCCGCCCGCGCGGAACGAAAACGCGAGCGCGAGGUGGAGAGAGAGAGAGAGAGAGAGAGAGAGAGAGAGGGAGGGGGGUGGGUUACUUAGACCGAAUCAGGGUGCCAGUGCCGGUGAGUGUGUGUCGCCGCCAUAAGGUGGAUGGUUUUUCAUGUGAGCACGUUCGGAUUUAAGCUGUGUGAUCAUCGACGGUCAGCGUGACGCACAGAAACGGUGAAGGCGCACCGCUACCGGAGCCACGUUUGGAUUCGAGCCAGUGACAGCGGAGGGAUCACCAGCAAGUUGAGAUGCUGUGAGAGCUUGUGAUGUGAGAGAGAGAGAGAAGGAGAGAGGGAGAGGGGGAUGAUGCUCUCGUCUCGCAGUUGUUAUUGUGCGCUAAGUUUGGACUGAAGGAGCGCGCUCGUCCGUCUGGGAUGUAUUUCUCUGAACUGCAAUAAGAGGAAAGGUCAAGUGGACGCGGUUUUUUUGGGGGGGAGCUGAGGAGAGAUCCACGGUGCGAGGAGGAGCGGGGACAAAAACGUGCGCCAGGUUGGAUGCCCGACACAAAUCUGCGUAAACAAAUAUGACGUCUGGUUUCAGCUUCGUCCUGCGUUUUCUGCCGAGCAACGACACCACGGACAGAAUCACAAACCUCGGAUGAAAUCUGGAGUCUAAUUCUUUUUUUUUCUUCUUCUUCUUUCAUUUUUUUAUUUUAUUUUCCUGAAAGAAAAAAAAAAGAGAGACUGGGAUCUAAUCCGGGUGGCGCAUCUCAUCUCCAGCGGCUGCGCGUAAUGGGAGAAAAGUUUCGGAGCUUUGCAGAGGAGACGCACUCUCAGCAUCCCGCGGGUGACGCGCUUCUAAAAUAACAUGUGUAUCCUCCCGCUCCGUCCGCGGCUCACCAAGUUUGAAAGUGAAUUUCAACCGUUCGGUAUGACUUGAAACAACCUUUGCUUGUUCUCGCCAUCAAAGCCAGUUAACGAUCCAUGAACCUCCGACCCGAUUUGUCCAAAGACGCGCAGACGGACAUUAAUGAUCUAGAGAGGAUUUCUGCAGCAGCAGCAGCAGCGCAAGCCUGAUCCCAGACAGAGAGAGAGAGAGAGAGUCCACCUGGAUGUCUAUGAUGUUGUGCCAGCUCGGGCAGAAGUGUGUGAUGGAGGUGGUGGUGCUGACCAUCCUGUCCUGGGUGUCCGUGUGGGCAGAGGAGAAGAUCAUAUUUGACAGACACGCUGUCUACUGGAACAGCUCCAACCCCAAGUUCUGGCAUGGAGAGUACAGGGUGGCAGUGAACAUUAAUGACUAUCUGGACAUCUACUGUCCUUACUACGAGGGUCCACCGUCCCACGGGCGCAUGGAGCGCUACAUCCUGUUCAUGGUCAACCAUGAGGGCUACACUUCCUGCCAGCACAGGAUGCGUGGCUUCAAACGCUGGGAGUGCAACCGUCCCAGCGGUCCUGACGGACCUCUGCGCUUCUCAGAGAAGUUCCAGCUCUUCACCCCCUUCUCCCUGGGCUUUGAGUUCAGGCCUGGGAACGAGUACUACUACAUCUCGUCUCCUCACCCGAACCAUGUGGGGCGAGCAUGUCUAAAGCUGAAGGUGUAUGUCAGACCUCCAGAUGGGUCGGGAUAUGAUUCUCCAGAGCCCUUCCUGACUGAUGGAGGUCCAAGCUGGAGGCCAAGGUCCAUGGCCCUGUUAGCUGCUCUGGCCUCACUGCUCCUGGGACUCUUCUCCUGGCUGUGACCCCCUCUCCUUCUGUUCCUGGAUCUCCCACCCACGGUCGCAGGGCUGGGCUGGGCUGGCUGUCCCUCUAAAUCCACCACCCCUCAGGGAAGCCCUCUGUCUCCGUCCUUCCCUCUCCCACCUCCACCUCCUCUUUACAACCACCAACCACCCCCACUGCCAGCCCCUUCAACGGCCCAGCCACGGACACCCUUCCCAGGCCUGGCUGAGAGGGUUGGGCCUUGAGCUUUUUGGGAAGCGGCCCUUCAUCUCUGAUCCCCGAACUCUGGGUGGAACAGCGCCUCUCAGCUGAAAAACACAAGGGAAAUGUCUCUGCACUCGUAUCAGGGGGUCCUUUUGAUUUGACUAUUGACUCUUGGCCACUGAUGGGGUAGAUGUAGCUGCAGCUAUGAUUAAACUUGUCGUUCCAGUGCAAUUCCUAUCAUCCAAUCACGGCGAGGAUGCAUUAAGCGAUAGGCCUGGAUGCACAAAAAUUGGAUUUUUCUCGCAUUGCUGUCCCAUCGUCAAACCAAGAAUUGGAAGUGGCCAAGCUUGCAUUGUAAUUGAAAUUCUAUACUGUCUGGACCCGUUCCAACUGCAACGAGAAUAAGAGCAAAUGUACAGAGAUGGAGAGGAGAAAAGCGACCCGGGCCUGUGCAGAAAAGAAAGGGAAAACAAUGCGGGCACAGAUUUAAAUGAAUACGGCCAUAUGGGAAAUGUAAUAUUAUAUGUGUUGAUAUUUUCAGACCCAGUCUAGAUUCACAGCAAUGUGAUAUAAAAAUCAUACAGUUUGAUUUUUUCAUGAGAAGCUCCGAUGUCACAUUACAAUGACAAGUAUAAUCAUAGCCUGUUUUAGUGGGAGGGUGGGGUGGUGUGUAGAGGGUGUUCUUUCUGGGUGGGGUUUUGGUGAGGUGUAUAUUUUCAGGUGGGAUGUGUUUUGUCUUAUUCAUGUUUCUAAACAAAGCAUUUAUCACAGCCUGGCCAGCGCAGGCUUCUUCAGCACUGUCUAAUGUCGAUUGGGUCGGGUGACUUUUGGAACCAUGACUUUACUCCUGUAUGAAUGUACCACUGGUCACCCACCUCUUUGUCUUUCUGUAUUAUUAUGACUGUGGUCACUUACAGUACCUUCUCUUGGACUGGCAGGAUGUAUGGAGGGGUUUUUUUUUUUCCGGAGAGGGAUGGUGGGGGGGCGGGCAGGAGGCGGGUGAAGUAGGGAUGAGCGGUGGACAGGUGAGAAAAGGAGGCGACACUCAAAGUUGCAUGACCACUGUGAAACCUUCAGAUCAAUCUCGUUUGUAAUGAUGAUAUAUUUUUUCAUGGGGAAAAAUCAGAAACACCCAGCUACCGCUCUCUUGCUCUCCCUGAGACUUUUUUUCAGACAUCAAAAGGAAAAAUUCAACCUCCCUCCACACGCCGUUUCUCCUGUCUGGCUUUCGGUCGUUGAUGGAUUAGCUCAGGCCGGGGGAGAUAAAUGGACCCAUACGGUGAAACUGACUGCAAAUCAGCCCUCAGAGCCCAGGCUGGAUCACAACGGACGUAAACACUGACUGAAGCUGGUCCUGGGUCUGAGGGUUAAACCAAUAAGGGAAGUGCAUAGACUGUGGCAAAUGAGGCGAGGUGUGUGUGUGUGUGUGUGUGUGUGUGUGUGUGUGCACAGUAAGAGCAUAUCUGGUUCUAAACAUGAAAAAAAAAUCUCCCCAAAAUGCUUUCACAUUGGAAAAGAAGAUUCUAUGACGAUUACCAAAAGAUAAGGUAGGGAAUCUUUAAAUUCUUCAUGAUUAAUCUGUGACUGUAGCCGACUUUUAUAUAGAGGUCCAUGUGGUUGCAGAUCAGUUAACGUUCUUCUAUUUUUUUCAUGUUAUAUUAUUUAACACAUCCCCAGAUUUUUUUGCUUUAUAGUGACCUUGCUUUUUUUUU